AAAGCUUGCAGGUCAGUGGGCAUUAACCUUUAAGGUUUGUAAACACUUGUACACUGAAGCAUACAAUACUGUACAAUUACUGACAUAGGCAUGUGCUAUUCAGGUGUCAAAGCUGUGCGAAACUGGAGGGAGAAACUUGAGAGACCGUGCCGGAAGAAUGCUGGACAGAGUUCACUAAAAUUCAUUAAUUUCAAAGUUCAACAUGAAUGGUGGUGGUCCACUGCAGAAGCAAGCAUUUGAAAAAACAUCAGUUCUCAGUUAUUAAAGAUGCUGUGUUGAACAACUUCCCAGCAGCAACAGAACUGGAAGUGAAGGAUGCAAUGGGGGCAUUUCAAACAGGCACCAGGGAGCACGGGCGGGG